GUUGUUGCGGUAAAAAAGCUCGUAGUUGGAUUUCUGUUGAGGGUGACCGGUCCGCACCAUGUGCGCGCAUCUGGUUCAGCCUCGGCAUCCUCUCGAUAGACGUUUCUGCGCUUUGUUGCGUGGAGCGGAUUUCGGGACUUUUACUUUGAGGAAAUUAGAGUGUUCACGGCAGGCUAUCGCCAGAAUACAUUAGCAUGGAAUAAUACUAUAGGAUCUUGAGCCUAUUUUGUUGGUUUCUAGACUUGAGAUAAUGAUUAAUAGGGACAAUUGGGGGCAUUCGUAUCAACACGUCAGAGGUGGAAUUCUUGGAUUGUGUUGCGACGAACUACUGCGAAAGCAUUUGCCAAGGAUGUUUUCAUUGAUCAAGAACGAAAGUAAGGGGAUCGAAGACGAUUAGAUACCGUCGUAGUCUUUACCAUAAACUAUGCCAACUCAGGAUGGGACAUCGUUCACUUACGACUUGUUCCGCACUGUAUGAGAUAUCAAAGUUUUUGGGUUCCGGGGGGAGUAUGGUCGCAAGGCUGAAACUUAAAGGAAUUGACGGAAGGGCACCACCAGGAGUGGAGCCUGCGGCUUAAUUUGACUCAACACGGGGAAACUCACCAGGUCCAGACAUAAUAAGGAUUGACAGAUUGAUAGCUCUUUCUUGAUUUUAUGGGUGGUGGUGCAUGGCCGUUCUUAGUUCGUGGAGUGAUUUGUCUGCUUAAUUGCGUUAACGAACGAGACCUUAACCUGCUAAAUAGAAGCGCAUAUCUUCGGAUAAGCGCCUUUCUUCUUAGAGGGACUUUAUGCGUUUCAGCAUGAGGAAGUUUGAGGCUAAAACAGGUCUGUGAUGCCCUUAGAUGUUCUGGGCUGCACGCGCGCUACACUGAUGCGUUCAACGAGUGUACAACCUUGCCCGAUAGGGUUGGGUAAUCUUUUGAACAC
rnacentral:rRNA from 1 species